ACACCGGCGGCCCGAGUGGUGAUCGUGAUUAUUGGGUCUAAAGGGUCCGUAGCCGGUUUGGUCAGUCCUCCGGGAAAUCUGAUAGCUCAACUAUUAGGCUUUCGGGGGAUACUGCCAGACUUGGAACCGGGAGAGGUAAGAGGUACUACAGGGGUAGGAGUGAAAUCUUGUAAUCCCUGUGGGACCACCUGUGGCGAAGGCGUCUUCCCAGAACGGGUUCGACGGUGAGGGACGAAAGCUGGGGGCGCUACCCGGAUUAGAUACCCGGGUAGUCCCAGACGUAAACGAUGCUCGCUAGUUGUCAGGCAUGGCGCGACCGUGUCUGGUGCCGCAGGGAAGCCGUGAAGCGAGCCACCUGGGAAGUACGGCCGCAAGGCUGAAACUUAAAGGAAUUGGCGGGG
rnacentral:rRNA from 1 species